GGGCCCGCACAAGCGGUGGAGCAUGUGGUUUAAUUCGAUGAUACGCGAGGAACCUUACCAGGGCUUAAAUGUUAGGUGACAGAUCUAGAAAUAGAUUUUUCUUCGGACACUUAACAAGGUGCUGCAUGGUUGUCGUCAGCUCGUGCCGUGAGGUGUCAGGUUAAGUCCUAUAACGAGCGCAACCCCUGUUGUUAGUUGCCAGCGAGUAAUGUCGGGAACUCUAGCAAGACUGCCAGUGCAAACUGUGAGGAAGGUGGGGAUGACGUCAAAUCAUCACGGCCCUUAUGUCCAGGGCUGCACGCAUGCUACAAUGGCAAGUACAACGAGUCGCAAUACCGCGAGGUGGAGCAAAUCUCUUAAAGCUUGUCUCAGUUCGGAUAGGAGUCUGCAACUCGACUCCUUGAAGUUGGAGUCGCUAG
rnacentral:rRNA from 1 species